UGGCUCUAGCAUCGAUGAAGAACGCAGCGAAAUGCGAUAAGUAAUGCGAAUUGCAGAAUUCAGUGAAUCAUCGAAUCUUUGAACGCACAUUGCGCCCGCUAGUAUUCUGGCGGGCAUGCCUGUCUGAGCGUCAUUUCAGCCCUCGUCCCCCGCCUAGGCGGGAGGGCGGUGUUGGGGAUGGGCCUGCCUCCGGGCCGGCCCGCCCCUAAAUGUAGUGGCGACCACGCCGUAGCCUCCUCUGCGUAGUAGUAACUCACCUCGCGGGCGGAGAGCGGUGCGGCCUGCCGUAAAACCCCCUACUUUCUCAAGGUUGACCUCAGAUCAGGUAGGAAUACCCGCUGA
rnacentral:misc_RNA from 1 species